UACUUUGUCACCUGUAAAUUAGAUACAUAAAUAUUAUAGUUUCAGAUAAAGAAAAUUUAUUUACAAUGUAUAAUGCCAUUGAGUAAUAAUUUACUCUUCAAAUGAAAAAUUAUUUUGUAUAGUACAUGUUCCUUUCUUCCAUCUGGUUUCAGAUUUAGAUCUGAAGUUCCUUGAGGUGGCCACGUAGCUAGAAUACUCCGUACGUUCUUAUUGCAGGGCUACUCAUCAUGUCCCUUGCAUGUGGAUUUAGAUUCUACAACAUCUCAAAGAAAUGAAAUGUUUUUCAUUCAAGGCAAAGGAAGAUCCUGACAAGUGAAAUUGUAUCUGUUCAGAGGGUGAGCCUCCCCAUACAUCCCUUUAUUUCCCAAGUUCUAUUAGAUGUUACUGAAGAAACUGGAGCAAAGAGAAGACAGGCCCAGAGAGACUGAACACAAGUUCCUUUUGAACAGCCCGAAAACACAUAGGUAAGAUGCAGUGCUCUGAGCAUUUUUUGUUUACCUCAGGUAAGUUCUGUUGCCUCUGGGGAAGGAAAAACCUCACCGGU
rnacentral:lncRNA from 1 species